AAAAGCUGGUGUUUGGGCACCAGGCGUUCGGGCGCCAUUGCCUUGUCUCUGAGUUGUUGUUCAUUCGUCUUCCUCCUCCCAACGUCUAUUGUUCUUGAGCGCUAGUGAGUUCCAACAUAUCCGUAUCUGAAAAUUUGGAUUAUUUUACUACUCGUAUCUGGUACCUGACCCGGGUACCCGUCCCGUUUUCAUCCCUAAUCACAAGACACACAACCACGACAAUAUGACGAAACGGAAACAACGUUAGCAGGCACCACUCUCAUCAAAAACAAGAAUCACCAACAAGAAGCAAUAGGACAAGGUUGAGCCCUCUACUCCUUGGGCUAUAAAAGGAGAACGCGACUUCUAGAACGGAGGGAGGUGAACAAGUCAUUUCGAAUAGCGCACACAUGUAAAUCCAUGGAGCACUUCACUUUCUACACCAAAGGCUUAAGCAUCGAGCUCUCCAUCGACCGAGUUUGUAUUCCCCGAUACAUACAUUAGUGUAGGGUACAUAGUGCACCCGACUGGACGUAAGGACAUUUCUUACCCGAACUAGUAUAAAAUGUUUGUGUCUCCCUUGCACACCAUCUACGGUGUUCCCAAAACACCGACAAUAUGUGCCACCUCUGUUAAUCAAUGGUUUCGGAGGACCGCAUCCGCAAAUGAUUUUUGAUGUGUGCAUUUUUUAAGCACCCAUAUCAUUUACGGAGGCGGUCGCUAGAUAUGUCCGUCACUGUUAACCUUUCACACUGUUUCGUGAAACUAUUUUUUCAGUAGUGAUACAAAAGUAUUAUGUGAGUGAAUAUAUUGGAAUUGAGAUUUACCCUUGGUGAUCUUAACCAAUCCUGAAGACAAACGAUAGGUGGUUCAACCGUUCGUUGACCUCUUUAGCAUGCUCCUGUGAUCAUGCACAAAUUCUUUCUCCAAUAAAAAAGUAGACUAUAUGAAGCUACCGUUGAUAUCAGUGACAAUGAGAUCUAAAUUUCGCACUAUAAGAUUUAAUGAUCGGAUCAGAUUAAUAUCGGAUCCUAUUUCAAAUCAUUGUUGAACUAAUAUUUAUUUAGUGUCCUACAAUUUUGUAAAGAAGCAUUUUGGAUCGUAAUCCAUUAUCACCCCUAACCGUGGAUGCAAGUACAUAUCAUGUGUCGUACGCUGUUAUAAAGUGACUAUGCUAUAUCUUGUUGAGUACAUAACAUCCCCAAACUGCUUACAGAGUCGUGUACUGAUGAAGACAUCCACACUACUGAUACAUCUAUGCCAAUACAAGUACCAAUUUCUGGUCCCAUUACUCGCGCUCGUGCUCGUCAAAUCAACCAUCAGGUGAUUACACUCUUGAGUUCAUGUCCAUCGUAUUUAGACCAUGGAGACCCGUGCACUCUUGUUUUGCUUAGGAACCAGAGAGAACACCGAAAGGGAAAAGGAUCUGAACAUGCUGGAUUCGGACUGCAGAAUAACACCAACUUGUGACGGUCACAUGCGGGCUCGGAUUGGAAUGUUCAAGCACAACAUGGAAAGCUUAUCAAGUCUACUUUCAUAUGGAUCCGGAAUUAUAGUCAUAUCUGUUCUGAGGCCACCGUAAUCAUUGUUUCCUUACCGAGACAUUUCCUGCUUUUUCUGCCCAUGGUGCUGCGUCACCCUAUUUUGGCCCAAUGGGUCGUGUAUCAAGUUGGGUCCAUUAGGGACGCAUCCUAGGGUUGCAGCACGACCCCAAUACCCUUGUGGUCAUCCUCCCAUGUUUAUAAACGCCCUAGCCGCCACCAAGAACAGUGGGUUUUGUUUAGAUCAAGUUUAGCUCUCGCUACUUGCUUGUAAGCGCGCGUGCUGGUCCAGCCGCCCGUAUUCUUGUCUUCGGAACCCCACCAUAUUGGAGUUUGAUUUUGAAACCUACAAUUUACAUCUGGU
rnacentral:lncRNA from 1 species